CUCACCGAAGUUAAGCAUCAUUGGGCGCGGUCAGUACUUGGGUGGGUGACCACCUGGGAACACUGCGUGCCGUU